CUCUUUCCAUUCCUCCCUCCUCCUCGUCUUGCCGCCACAAGGUAAGCCACUCCACGCCAUAUCCGUCGCCAACGCCAUGCCCAAGCUCUACUCUGGCGCGAUCAAGCUCGUCAUCGUCGUCUUCUUCCUCGGGGAGUGACGCACGCGUCCCCGACUUUGUCCCCGUCUCCGUCCCCGACCGAUUCUUAUGGGUGGCUGGACUGGAUCGCCUCCCACGCUGUCGUCCACGUCUUUGUCUUCUUCCUCUACCUCCUCUACGUCAUGAACGCCGGCUCCUCUGCUUCCCCGUCGUCGACCUCGUACGACUCCAACAGCACCCCCACGGUGAAGCCCCGCUCCUCCCCAACUCUCUCUCCGUUUGAAUUCUGUCGCCAUAGCUCUCCCGCAAGCCGCACCGUGUCGCACCACCUAGCUUCAUCCGCCCACCUCGUCGUGCUUCGCUGCCAUGGCCACAAGCACGCAGAAUCCCUGUUCACCCAUGCUUCAGCACGCUCUCUGACACCUCGCCGCGCCCUGCCUGGCUGCUUGCCUCGUCUCGCAUACCCAUCUCCCUGCCUCACCGCGCCAUGUCAGGACCCCGAGCCGAGCAACGCUAGAGCUUGUGCGCCCCGCAACCUCCGCCUGCGUGAGCCGAAGCCCCCCUCCAACCCGCACACCCUGGCAUCUCGAGCACGCCGGGAAGCAUGUCCGGAGAGGUAGCUCUGCAUCCUCUGUUUCUUUGCACGCGCACACCUGAAGCCUCGCUCGUCGUCUUGCAUGUCUCUGCAGACGCCGUGCCCGAAGCGAGCAUGAGCUCGUCCUCGAGAUCCCGCACACCCGAGCCUUCUGCACGACCUAUCCAUUCUUGCGCAUGCCCACAACACAACUUGUGCCCCACGUCUGUGCUGCCCGCCCGUGUCGUCGCUUCAACCAGCAUCGCCAGCCCCAUGCCUCGAUGUGCCCGAGUCGAGCUCCUGCUCGUGCCCGAGCGCUCGCACGCACACCACACUGACAAGCAGCAGCCGUUUUCUCCCGUGCACGCAUGUUGUUCCCGCACGCCCGCUGCCGCCUACGGAGCCCUUCCGUGCCGCCGUUGAUCGUCGGCGACGACGCCAUCUCCUUUGUCUCCGUAGAAGAAGCCAAGCCAGGCCUUGAACUGGUUAAAAUCAACUAGGCCGCACCUUCUGUCAAACUAUCACAAUCUAGCCAGUGGCUCAACCCUCUCUGGCUUACCCAGCAGACCCGGGUUCGAAUCUCCAUGUGGCCAGUGGUGAGAAUUCCCAAUUUUUGCCAUUUUGGUUUCUAUGUCAGUAGACCCCACUCGUCAUCCUCUCUGCCCACACAGCCUCCCGUCCACACCCACACUCCUGCCACCUCAGCACGCCGGGCCCUCUCGUCAUUGACAGUGGCUGGCUCAGCCCGUGUUCCCCUGUUGUUUUAUUUUCUUCGGCAUAAUUUCAGAAAAAGCCCCUAUUUUGUUUUGUUAAUAACUAAAUAUGUAUGCAUCCAAAUUAAUCAAACUGUAUAUGUAAAAUGCUUAGAAUUUUAUCUAGUUUCAUAAUAUGCAUCAUUCAUCCCUGUUUAAAAUGUUUAACUUGCUGUUUAAAUUAAUUUGCUGAAUGCCAUGCUAAAAUGAUUUAUUUCAUAACUAAAUAACCAUAGCUCCGAAUUUAAUAAACUUUAUAUGUAAAUGGGGUGGAAAAAUGCAUAGCUUAACAUGGUAGCAUUAUUUGGCAUGUUUAACAACUCUAAAAUUAUGUAAUAGGCAGAACAGUACCGAAUCUAAAAUAUGCACAUGGGGAUUUUUUGGAAUUGUUGCUUGUUGUUCCGGCCUCAUUUAAACUUGCCUAGAUAGGUAGAUUAAUUAUGCUUCACCUCUUGCCAUGUUUAACAAUAUUUAAUAUUGUUUGGUAGCUUAAACGAGAUUGAACUAAAUAUGUCCAUGUGGUGUUUUGUCAAUAUGCAACACGUUGCAUGUUGAGCUCCACUUAAUUUGUAGGAUUGUUUGUGCACUUUGCCAUGACAUGCCUCAUUAAACCGGGCAUGCAUCAUACUUGAUUGUGCAUCAUGCCAUGUUUAUGCUUGGUGUUUACCAUGUUGUUUCCUUCUUUCCGGUUUGCUUCUCUCGUUAGCUCCUCUUCUCGCUCUUAUUUGCGUAUGUUAGCCACCAUAUAUGCUUAGUCGCUGCUGCAACCUCACCACUUUACCCCUUCCUUUCCCUUUAAGCUUUGCUAGUUUUGAUACCCAUGGUAAUGGGAUUGCUGAGUCCUCGUGGCUCACAGAUUACUACAACAACAGUUGCAGGUACAGGUUAUGCGAUGAUCAUGACGCAAGAGCGAUGCUUGUUUGCGUUGAGAUCUUCUUCUGCUCCUUCGAUCAGGGGAUAGGUUCCAGGUCGGUAGCCUGGGCUAGCAGGGUGGAUGUCGUUUGAGUUUCUGUUUGUGUUUCAUCCGUAGUCGGAUGAUCCUCUGAUGUAUUGUGAUGUUGUAUUCAUGUGGCAUCGAUUAUGUAAUGUUGAUGUAAUGAUAUCCACCUUGCAAAAGCGUUUCAAUAUGCGGGUCUAUCCUUGGUGGGACCUUCGAGUUCCUUUUGGAUAGGGUCGCAUAUUGGGCGUGACAAGUUGGUAAUCAGAGCCUCGACCGACCAUAGGAGCCCCCUUGAUUGUUGGCCGUUGUUGAGUCUAGAAGAAAACUAUUUUGAUUCUUAGGAUUAUAUAUAUCGGAGAGUAGGAUUCUUUUUACUCCCCAUCCCCUUCGUCGCUCUGGUGAGGUCUCCUGACGUAGAUGUUUUGACUUUCCUCUCCUCAAAUUUCACUAUUUUUUUAGGAUCACGCGGGUAUCUUGGAAUCGUUCCGAUGGUUUUGUGACGAGAACAUUGUUAUUGGUGCCUCCUGUCUAUUAUGUGGCAUUCACCCGGGGAGUUGAGCUCCGAGGUGUUGUUGUCACAAUUUUAUCAUUGCAGUUCUGGAAUACCUGAGUUUUGCCGACAUCGAAAAUCUCUUUUAUGCAGUUGUUG
rnacentral:lncRNA from 1 species